AACCCUGUACAUAGGGGGUUUUACCUUUCUCGUUCUCACCAGCCUCAUCUACAUUUCCGCCAAAAAGAGAAGGAGAAGAAUUGGUUUAGAACCUUUCUAUUUCUAUAAACUUUAGAAGGGUUCAAAUGGCGCCCGUUCUAAGUAGGGGCUUGGCAGCAUCUUCUAUAGCUUCUCUUCCUUCGUCAUCGUUUUCAGUGAAGAACCAAAUUAAAGUCUUGAAUUUGAGAACUUCUUUUAUACCCCGAAACAUUUCGAGACAUGGGUUUCCUGGUUGUGGACUGAAAUGGAAAUUCGAGAGGAAAAACAACCGAUUGGCUGUCCGAUGUGAGGCGGCUGUGGCUGAGAAAGAAGCCGAGGACAGCUCUGGCGAGAAGUUUGAGUACCAGGCGGAGGUUAGUCGACUACUGGACUUGAUAGUUCAUAGUUUAUAUAGUCACAAGGAAGUGUUUCUUCGAGAGCUGGUGAGUAAUGCAAGUGAUGCGCUAGAUAAGUUGAGAUUUUUAAGUGUGACCGAACCUUCUCUUCUUGGAGAUGCUGGUGAAUUGGAGAUACGCAUCAAGCCUGAUCCAGACAAUGGGACCAUCACCAUAACAGAUACUGGUAUUGGAAUGACCAAAGAAGAGCUCAUUGACUGCCUAGGAACUAUUGCACAGAGUGGGACCUCAAAAUUCUUGAAGGCUCUGAAGGAGAAUAAAGAUGUUGGAGCAGAUAAUGGCUUGAUUGGUCAGUUUGGUGUUGGAUUCUAUUCAGCGUUUCUUAUUGCUGAGAAGGUGGUUGUGUCUACAAAAAGCCCAAGGUCAGAUAAGCAGUAUGUCUGGGAAGCAGUGGCUGACAGUAGCUCAUAUGUUAUCAGGGAAGAGACUGAUCCUGAAAAACUUCUACGCCGUGGAACACAAAUCACCCUCUAUUUAAGGCCGGAUGAUAAAUAUGAAUUCUCUGAGCCAAGCAGGAUACAAGGUUUGGUGAAGAAUUACUCUCAAUUUGUUUCCUUCCCCAUAUACACAUGGCAGGAAAAAUCAAGGACUGUUGAGGUGGAAGAGGAGGAAGAAAAGGAGGGAGAAGAAGAAGAGCCAGAGGGUGAAAAGAAAAAGAAGAAGAAAACUGUGACUGAGAAAUACUGGGACUGGGAAUUAGCCAAUGAAACAAAACCCAUAUGGAUGCGGAAUGCAAAGGAAGUUGAGAAAGAUGAAUACCAUGAAUUCUACAAGAAGACAUUUAAUGAAUUCUUGGAUCCACUUGCAUACACUCACUUUACCACAGAGGGUGAAGUGGAAUUUAGAAGUGUACUCUACAUUCCUGGAAUGGCACCUCUUAACAAUGAGGACAUGAUAAAUCCUAAGACAAAGAAUAUCCGCUUGUAUGUCAAACGUGUAUUCAUUUCAGAUGAUUUUGAUGGUGAACUGUUUCCACGGUACUUGAGUUUUGUAAAGGGUGUGGUGGAUUCAGAUGAUCUUCCUCUCAAUGUGUCUCGAGAGAUACUUCAAGAGAGCCGAAUAGUAAGAAUUAUGAGAAAGAGACUUGUUAGAAAGACAUUUGACAUGAUUCAGGAUAUCUCUGAAAGCGAGAACAAAGAGGAUUAUAAGAAAUUCUGGGAGAACUUUGGAAAGCUUCUUAAGUUGGGAUGCAUUGAGGAUUCGGGAAAUCACAAGCGUCUGAUACCCUUGCUGCGGUUUUACUCUUCCAAAAGUGAGGAAGAACUUAUUAGCUUAGAUAACUAUGUUGAAAAUAUGGGUGAGAACCAAAAGGCUAUCUAUUACUUGGCAACAGACAGUUUGAAAAGUGCAAAAACUGCUCCAUUCUUGGAGAAAUUGGUGCAAAAGGAUAUUGAGGUUUUGUAUCUAAUAGAGCCCAUCGAUGAAGUUGCCAUCCAGAACCUGCAGACCUACAAGGAAAAGAAAUUUGUUGAUAUCAGCAAGGAAGAUCUUGAGUUGGGUGAUGAGGAUGAAGUUAAAGAAAGGGAAACCAAACAAGAGUACAAUCUUCUUUGCGACUGGAUAAAGCAACAAAUUGGUGAUAAGAUAGCUAAAGUGCAAGUGUCAAAGCGUCUUAGUUCAUCCCCCUGUGUGCUUGUUUCUGGCAAGUUUGGGUGGUCUGCUAAUAUGGAAAGGCUUAUGAAAGCACAGACCCUUGGAGACGCUUCAAGCUUGGAGUUCAUGAGGGGGCGGAGAAUAUUAGAGAUCAAUCCAGAUCAUCCCAUCAUUAAAGAUCUGAAUGCUGCAUGCAAGAAUGCUCCAGAAAGUACAGAAGCCAGAAGAGCUGUCGACCUACUAUAUGAUACAGCCUUGAUUUCCAGUGGAUUCACUCCUGACAGUCCAGCUGAGUUGGGUAACAAGAUAUAUGAGAUGAUGGCGAUUGCCCUUGGCGGGAAAUGGGGGAGAUCAGAAUUGGGAGAGGGAGAGACAGGAGAUGCCCCUCUUGAAUCUGAUGCAGACGGUGAUGUUGAUACCUCGGUGACAGAAGUGGUUGAACCAUCGGAAGUGAGGGCAGAGAGCGAUCCCUGGAAGGAUUAAUAUUCUUUUGAUAGCUAUGACGGUUGUUUGUUUUGGCAUUGUUUCUGAUUCUUGGAGGCCAUGUAGAGAAACGUUUAGAUGGAGGCAUAAUGGGUUAAAAAUUCAGAGUGGUUAGGUACAAAUGCAUCAGAACUGUAAAAUUUGGUUGGCUUUUGCUUCGAGUUUUAUUCAAGGUUCAAAGUAUCAACACAGGUCGAUAUGCCGUUAGGGUGUAUUGGUGCUUUUUUUUUAAUGUUUUAUUUAUUUUUUAUUUUCAAAACCAGUUAGAGGGGUCAGUUUAAGUCCCUGAAUCAUGGUCUGAUCUGGUUUUAUUCUACUUUGUUUUAGGUUUCAUUCUA